rnacentral:rRNA from 1 species
UGGGGAAUAUUGGACAAUGGGCGCAAGCCUGAUCCAGCCAUGCCGCGUGAGUGAUGAAGGCCUUAGGGUUGUAAAGCUCUUUCACCGGGGACGAUGAUGACGGUACCCGGAGAAGAAGCCCCGGCUAACUUCGUGCCAGCAGCCGCGGUAAUACGAAGGGGGCAAGCGUUGUUCGGAAUUACUGGGCGUAAAGGGCGCGUAGGCGGUCCGUUGCGUCAGGUGUGAAAUCCCCGGGCUCAACCUGGGAACUGCACUUGAUACGGGCGGGCUGGAAUCCGUGAGAGGUUGGUGGAAUUCCCAGUGUAGAGGUGAAAUUCGUAGAUAUUGGGAAGAACACCGGUGGCGAAGGCGGCCAACUGGCACGGUAUUGACGCUGAGGCGCGAAAGCGUGGGGAGCAAACAGGAUUAGAUACCCUGGUAGUCCACGCCGUAAACGAUGUGCGCUAGCCGUCGGGCAGCAUGCUGUUCGGUGGCGCAGCUAA